CCAUAAAAGAAAAUGGUUCAAAAAGUCCUGAGCAAGUGAAACCAGAAAUGUGCCGUGCUUGUAUCUGGCAGCCUCAUGCCCCGAAGGUGAAGAGCAGACAACUGCUGUCCACGGCUUCUCACAGUGAAAGUAGAAUGAGUGGGGCAUGUGUUCCAGCUGGGAGCAUGCGUUAGGGCCCUGGCCAGCCACAAAACACAGAGCCUCCAUGCACCAGGUGAAGAGAACUCCGAGGAGAUGUCACCUCGCUUCUCCCCAGCCCUUACUCAGACAGAAAGGACCUGUGAGGCCUGAAAGCAGAAGCAAGAAGACUAUUCUCAGGGGUGUAGGAUGAAGUUGGAGGCUGGAAAGAAUGCAAUUACGAUAGUAGACUGGAUAGUGACCAACCGAAAAUGUCCACGCCCUGAUCCUUGGAACCUGUGAAUAUAUUACUUUCCAUGGCAGAAGGGACUUUGCAGAUGGGAUUGCCAUGGGGAAGAGUAUCCCAGAUU